UACGUAGGGUCCGAGCGUUGUCCGGAGUUACUGGGCGUAAAGCGCGCGCAGGCGGCGGCGCAAGCCUGGCGUGAAAGCCCCCGGCUCAACCGGGGAGGGUCGUCGGGGACUGCGUCGCUUGAGGACGGCAGGGGCCGGUGGAAUGCCCGGUGUAGUGGUGAAAUGCGUAGAGAUCGGGCAGAACACCCGUGGCGAAGGCGGCCGGCUGGGCCGAUCCUGACGCUGAGGCGCGAAGGCGUGGGGAGCGAACGAG
rnacentral:rRNA from 1 species